UACAGAGGGGGCAAGCGUUAUUCGGAAUUAUUGGGCGUAAAGGGCGCGUAGGCGGCUUGGCAAGUGGAAGGUGAAAUCCCUCGGCUUAACCGAGGAACUGCCUGUCAGACUGCAUGGCUUGAGACCAGGAGAGGUGAGUGGAAUUCCCAGUGCAGCGGUGAAGUGCGUAGAUAUUGGGAGGAACACCAGUGGCGAAGGCGGCUCACUGGACUGGUACUGACGCUGAGGCGCGAAAGCGUGGGGAGCAAACAGG
rnacentral:rRNA from 1 species